CACAGGAGCCCAAGGAGGGGGUGGGAGGCUCAGGUAUGGAGGGCUGUAAGUCCCGAGCCCUGCCCCGCGGGAAGGUAGCUAAGGCCCGGUGAGAAAUCAAGAGCAGCGCCGGUGGGCUGGCACUUCUGGGGGACCCAGUACACCCUCCGCAGCCGCUGGCCCGGGUGCUAAGCCCCUCAUUGCCCGGGGCCGGUAGGGCCCGCCGGCUGCUCCGAGUGCGGGGCCCGCCAAGCCCACGCCCACCGGAAACUCCAGCUGGCCCGCAAGCGCGCGCGCAGCCCGGGUUCCCGCUCUUGCCUCUCCCUCCACACCUCCCUGCAAGCUGAGGGAGCCUGCUCCGGCCUUGGCCAGCACAAAAAGGGGCUCCCACAGUGCAGCGGUGGGCUGAAGGGCUCCUCAAGUGCUGCCAAAGUGAGAGCCCAGGCAGAGGAGGCGCCAAGAGCGAGCGAGGGCUGUGAGGACUGCCAGCACGCUGUCACCUCUCAGCACUACUGACCAGUGUAAGGAAGAGCUGGUCACCUUGAAGGGGGGCAGUGGGAAGCCAGGAAUCAGCUUGUGCCCAGAGGGAAAGAAUUGAGCUGCUAAAACUGUAAGGGAGAGCUUACCUUGCAGACUGGCUGUGCAGCUGUGCGUGGGAGCCGGCUGCUGAGAGGAGCUGCAGAGCCGGAGCAAACAGCAGAGAUAAAGGUGGACAGUGAGAGAGCUAAUGAGCAAAAAGGGAAUUCAGAGGACAUCCUAAUGAAAAAUGAAAAUGGAUCAUCACACAAGUAGCUUAUUAUGAGAUGUAAAACCCCAUGAAAAAUUAAUAUAAUAUUUCUCAAGCAGGGUUCCUUCGCCAUUUCAGCUGCCACCAUCCCCUCUCCCCAAAACCCCAGUAGACAUCAACAGAAUCCAGAAACUACAGGGUCCACUGGCAUGGCAGGGCCUGUAGGAUUCUUUUCCAAUGUGUACAGAUUGGCUGAUGCCUGGACUAUGCCAGUUCACUGUUUUAAAGAUUACUCUUGAUUGUCACAAUUAAAAACAAAGAAUAUUUAGAACCAAAUUAUAUGUGUUGCACAUUAAACAAAACGUUUUAUAAUAUGUUCUAAAAGUCAGCAAAGGUUAUUUAGCUGUGUAUGAUUCAUUUCACAAUUCCAUUUUUUAAUAUUGUAAUUCUCCCUUAUGCCUUCUAAUUUUUUUUGAAAUGACCACAGAUAUCUUCUGUAGGCCAAAUAGCAUAUUACACAUCUGUCAAAACAUACUUUAUUAUCAUAUAACUCUGUUUACAAAGUCUCUUGAACCCUUUCAGAUUGUUCUGGCUGCUUGUUUUGUGUUCAUUUCUUUCUUUAAUGUGUUUACAUUUUCCAGUCAUUUGUAUAAAUAAGGAUGUACUAGAAUAAAUAGUCUUUCCCCUUUAAGACCCAGUCUAAAUUUCAAGGUUAGUUUUAAAUUUUGUUCUUCAUUUCAAUAUGACAGCAAAGUUGUUUGAUACUAAGAAUAAUUCUUUUUGAUGAAAAUACUAUAUUUAAGAAAUCAAUAAUACUAUGAACUGACUUAUAUUCUCUUUAAAUUUAUAGACCUAACUAUACACCCCAUGUGAUGGUAUUUGGAGAUGGACCUUUGGAAGGUAAUUCAGGUUAGAUGAGAUCAUGAAGGUAUAGUCCUCAUGACGGGAUUAGUGUCUUCAUAAUGUGAUAGAGAGAGAGAGAGAGAGAGAGAAAAGGAGAGAGAGAGGAAGAGAAAUUAUCACAAAAAAAGAGGUCAUCUGAGUACACAGUGAGAUAGAAGCCACCUAUAAUCCAAGAAAAGAGUCCUCAGAAUAAAACCUACCUUGUGGACACCUUGAUCUUGGACUUCCAGUCUCCAGAACUAUGAGAAAUGAAUUUCUGUUGUUUAAGCAACUCAGUCUGUGGUACUUUGUUGUCUCAACUGAAGCAGAUGAAUACAAAUAAUAAAUAGAGUGGUGUACAUUAGUGAUGGAUGGCUCACUAUUAGAGAAGCCCAUAGUCUCUGUGUUGAAUUUUAUUUGCUCAUUGGAAUAAUUGACUCAAAUUUAAAAUUCUCCUCUAACGUUAUGUGUAUAAUUUACCUUCAGAUUGCUAUUGGGUAAACCAAGAAUUCAUUGAGUAAUCACAGAAUACAUAGAGAGAUUCUCUUGGUUCUUGGAAUGACUUCUAAAUUAAUGAUAAAGUGAUGCUCCUUAGAAUGUUAGAGCUUCACAAUGCCUUUCUAGACUCCUGGCUGCAAAGGUGGCUUAAGAAACAAAAGUCAGGCCGGGCGAGGUCGCUCACCACGCCUGUAAGCCCAGCACUUUGGGAGGCAAGGCGGGCGGAUAACGAGGUCAAGAGAUCGAGACCAUCCUUGCUAACGCGGUGAAACCCUGUCUCUACUAAAAAUACAAAAACAAAAAUUAUCUGGGUAUCGUGGCGGAUGCCUGUAGUUCCAGCUACUGGGGAGGCUGAGGUGGGAGAAUGGUGUGAACCCGGGAGGCGGAGCUUGCAGUGAGCCAUGGUUGUGCCACUGCACUCCAGCCUGGGGGAGAGACUGAGACUUCAUCUCAAAAAAAAAAAAAAAAAAAAAAAAAAACAAGAGUCAAAAAAAGAAAGGACCAACCACGGUUGUUUGGUACCAAAAAGAAACUACAACCAUGUUGUGUCCAGAAUUGGUGGGUUCUUGGUCUCACUGACUUCAAGAAUGAAGCCGCGGACCCUCGCGGUGAGUGUAACAGCUCUUAAGGUGGCGCCUCUGGAGUUUUUUCCUUCUGAUAUUCCCAUGUGUUCGGAGUUUCUUCCUUCUGGUGGGUUCAUGGUCUGGCUGGCUCAGGAGUGAAGCUGCAGACCUUCGCAGUGAGUGUUGCAGCUCUUAAAAGCAGUGUGGACCCAAAGAGUGAGCAGUAGCAAGAUUUAUUGCAAAGAGUUAAAGAACAAAGCUUCCACCGUGUGGAAGGGGACCCAAGCGGGUUGCCAAUGCUGGCUCAGGCAGCCUGCUUUUAUUCUCUUAUCUGGCCCCACCCACAUCCUGCUGAUUGGUAGAGCCCAGUGGCCUGUUUUGACAGGGUGCUGAUUGGUGAGUUUACAAUCCCUGAGCUAGAUACAAAGGUUCUCCACGUCCCCAUUAGAUUAGUUAGAUACAGAAUUUCCACACACAGGUUCUCCAAGGCCCCACCAGAGCAGCUAGUUACAGAGUGUCCAUUGGUGCACUCACAAACGCUGAGCUAGACACAGGGUGCUGAUUGGUGUGUUUACAAACCUUGAGCUAGAUACGAGUGCCGAUUGGUGUAUUUACAAUCCCUGAGGUAGACAUAAAGGUUCUCCAAGGCCCCACCAGACUCAGGAGCCCAGCUGCCUUCACCCAGUGGAUCCCGCACCGGGGCUGCAGGUGGAGCUGCUUGCCAGUCCCGCCCCGUGUGCCCGCACUCCUCAGCCCUUGGGUGGUCGAUGGGACUGGGCGCUGUGGAGCAGGGGGUGGUGCUCGUCGGGGAGGCUCGGGCCGCACAGGAGCCCAUGGAGUGGGUGGGAGGCUCAGGCAUGGCAGGCUGCAGGUCCAGAGCCCUGCCCCGCGGGAGGGCAGCUAAGGCCCGGUGAGAAAUCGAGUGCAGCACCGGUGGGCUGGCACUGCUGGGAGACCCAGUACACCCUCCGCAGCCACUGGCCCGGGUGCUAAGCCCCUCACUGCCUGGGGCCGGCAGGGCC
rnacentral:lncRNA from 1 species